UACGAAGGGGGCUAGCGUUGCUCGGAAUCACUGGGCGUAAAGGGUGCGUAGGCGGACUUUCAAGUCAGGGGUGAAAUCCCGGGGCUCAACCUCGGAAUUGCCUUUGAUACUGUAAGUCUCGAGUCCGGAAGAGGUGGGUGGAAUUCCUAGUGUAGAGGUGAAAUUCGUAGAUAUUAGGAAGAACACCGGUGGCGAAGGCGGCCCACUGGUCCGGUACUGACGCUGAGGUGCGAAAGCGUGGGGAGCAAACAGG
rnacentral:rRNA from 1 species